rnacentral:rRNA from 1 species
GGCGUGAUACAUGCCAGGAAAGUGGUCGUUGGGUAUAGUGGCGAACGGGUUAUUAACGCGUGCAAAGAAACCGCUUACAACGGAAUAGCCAUUGGAAACCAUGAUUAAUACCGGGAUCGCCCCAAGGGGGAAUUGUCCAAUAUUUAAAGGAUCGGCCUGCGUUAGGAGUGGUAGUUGGUUGUGUAAUGGCCUACCAAGCCUCCUCUUUUCAGACCAUUUAUGAGUAUUAUCAGCAACAGGGGGAUUGCGCCCCAGCCCAGAAUUCUAAGGAGGGCCCCUGUAGGGAAUGUUGGCCAAUGGGCGUAAGCGUGAUCCAGGCAUGAGGGGUGAUUGACGAACGCCGUAGGGCAGUAAAAGUCAGGUUCCCGGGAAGAUAUCACCGGUGCCUGGUAAAGAAACCCCGGCUAAUCGAGUUGCAGCAGCCGCGCAAAUAGCGAGGGUUUUUUAAUGGAAUUCCCGCGGCCGCCAUGGCGGCCGGGAGCAUGCGACGUCGGGCCCAGUACGCC